ACGGAAGGCAGCAGUGGGGGAUAUUGCGCAAUGGGGGAAACCCUGACGCAGCGACGCCGCGUGAAGGAAGAAGGUCUUCGGAUCGUAAACUUAUGUCAACGGGGACGAGAAAGGACGGUACCCGAAGAGGAAGCCACGGCUAACUACGUGCCAGCAGCCGCGGUAAUACGUAGGUGGCGAGCGUUGUCCGGAUUUACUGGGUGUAAAGGGCGUGUAGGCGGGCUUGCAAGUUGGAUGUGAAAUGUCACGGCUUAACCGUGGAGCUGCAUCCAAAACUACAAGUCUUGAGUGCCGGAGAGGAAAGCGGAAUUCCUAGUGUAGCGGUGAAAUGCGUAGAUAUUAGGAGGAACACCGGUGGCGAAGGCGGCUUUCUGGACGGUAACUGACGCUGAGGCGCGAAAGCGUGGGGAGCAAACAGGAUUAGAUACCCUGGUA
rnacentral:rRNA from 1 species